rnacentral:lncRNA from 1 species
GGGACGGGGGGACGGGGACGGAGGGACAGGGGAAGGUGGGGCAGGGGCCGCUACUUGAGCAGCCUCCGCAUGGUGCCCAACGAAGGGCUCCUGUACUCCCGCCCGAAGUGGUUCCAGUGGUUCAGGUAGUUAAACAGCUGGUAGAGCAGCAGCCGCUGGUCGAAGCCCGGAGCCUUGGGGAUCUUCCGGUGGUAGGCGGUGAAGAAGGAUCUGGGGAACCCCCCAAACAUCAAGGCGAUUGCCAGUUCAAACUCGGAAUGGCCAUAGAAGGAAGCCGGGUCGUAAAUAAUGGGCCCCACGUCGUCCUCAGCCACGUUUCCCGACCAGAGAUCCCCGUGGAGCAACGCGGGGACAAUCUCUAGGCCACAAAACAGAUCCGGGA